UACGUAGGGGGCAAGCGUUGUCCGGAAUCAUUGGGCGUAAAGAGCGUGUAGGCGGCUCGAUAAGUCCGCUGUGAAAGUCGGGGGCUCAACCCUCGAAUGCCGGUGGAUACUGUCGGGCUAGAGUACGGAAGAGGCGAGUGGAAUUCCUGGUGUAGCGGUGAAAUGCGCAGAUAUCAGGAGGAACACCCAUUGCGAAGGCAGCUCGCUGGGACGUUACUGACGCUGAGACGCGAAAGCGUGGGGAGCAAACAGG
rnacentral:rRNA from 1 species